rnacentral:hammerhead_ribozyme from 1 species
AUUCAGCUGAUGAGUCCUAAAUAGGACGAAACAUGCGUCCAGAAU